rnacentral:sRNA from 1 species
AAACGUCACUGUCAGCUACUGGAGCCGC